GAUGAACGCUGGCGGCAUGCUUUACACAUGCAAGUCGGACGGGAAGUGGUGUUUCCCGUGGCGGACGGGUGAGUAACGCGUAAGAACCUGCCCUUGGGAGGGGAACAACAGCUGGAAACGGCUGCUAAUACCCCGUAGGCUGAGGAGCGAAAGGAGGAAUCCGCCCAAGGAGGGGCUCGCGUCUGAUUAGCUAGUUGGUGAGGUAAUAGCUUACCAAGGCCGUGAUCAGUAGCUGGUCCGAGAGGAUGAUCAGCCACACUGGGACUGAGACAAGGCCCAGACUCCUACGGGAGGCAGCAGUGGGGAAUGUUCCGCAAUGGGCGAAAGCCUGACGGAGCAAUGCCGCGUGGAGGUAAAAGGCCUACGGGUCAUGAACUUCUUUUCCUGGAGAAGAAACAAUGACGGUAGCUGGGGAAUAAGCAUCGGCUAACUCGGUG
rnacentral:rRNA from 1 species